CCCUGACUCCGCUUGUGACUUCGUGCCCCGGUCACUCCGACCUUCCAGGCCGUUUCUCAGUCUAGCAUCCGCCAAGAAUCGCUCCAGCCGCUAGUGAUUCACAAGACGAAAUUAUUUUCAUACAUACGGAAUGUGUGCACGUUACCGUGGCAACCAAGUGACGGCCGAAGGGAGAGCAGGUCCUCUGGUCCUGCACAGGGCUUUGCCUACCGUACGGCAAGAUGGCGGCCUCCAGGGCGCGGGGAGGCAUGCCCUCUCACCUCCUGUCGGGCUAGGGGCAUCGGCUCCGACUCUCACUUCUUCGGCCCUAGGCUCCUCGAGGCGGCCGUUUUGUGGGGGGUGACCGGUGGGAUUCUAAGAUAAAUGGAGGAUGGGGAACUUGGGGUGUGUGGGACGGUGUUCAAAGUCCUCGACUGGAAACGGUGCUAAAAGGCCUGUAGCCUCCUCUCUAGUCCACUUCGGAGUCGGGCCUGGGGCGUUACGGCCUAGGAAGGGAGGAAAGAGGAAAGAAGGGGAGCCUGAUGCUUCUUUCUGAUCCCAAGCUUUAUUAGAGUGAGAGGAAAGAUAAGGAGAUAGUACAAGGCUGGUCCUGGGGCAGGUUCUGGUCCCUGGGGGGAGAAAGUAGGAUUAACAAGACUGGAUUACUUUCUUUUCCCCCUUCUUACUCUCUUUCCCCCAGUUUGGUAUUCUCUUCCCUCUUCCUUCUCCCGAAUAGUUCUUGCCCAUCUUCAGCUGACCUAACAUUGGAAGAGCCCGGGAAUAGUAUUCAGGAGGCUUGGGGUUCCAGGCUGGCUCUUUUAGUUUUCUGCCGGUAACAUGGCCAAAUAUCCCUCUCUUGGCCUUAUUCUUCUCUUCUGUAAAAUAGGAGGAAGGCAGCUAUGUUUCCAAGUAGGUUUGAAAUCAGGAAAACCUGAGUUAAAAUCCUGCCCUAGAUAUUUAUUAGCUGGGUGACCUUGGGCAAAUUACUUUACCUCUGCCUGACUCCUUCAUAAAAAAGGGACUAUAAUAGAACCUACUAGAGUUCCCUAGGUGUAUAAUCAGGAACAAAUGAGAUAAUUUUUGCAAAGCAUUUUGGAAAUAAGUAAUAGUUAUUAUUAUCUAGAUUUCCAUGAGGGGUCCCCCCUCCCCCAAGAGAUUCUUUAUAAUUCAUCUCAUUCCCAUGUCCAUCUUUAUCUCUUGGCAUGUUUUUUACCUUAGUUGAGAGGGAGGAGGCAGUCAGUGAUUACAGCUCCAGUUCUUCUUCUUUUUGAGGUGUUCCAAGCAACCAACCCCAAAGGUUUGCCCAAGGUAUUGGCCAUAGCAGCUUGUAGGCAGCCUCUAGCAUCAGCACUGCUAGGAAGAGAGCAAGAAAAAUGAAAAAGGCCUUGUCCAGGGCCCGAAGAAUGGGACCCCUGGGAGGAGCCGGACCCUGGGCAAAUGCCAAAAAUACAUCAUCUUCAUCCCUAUCACCCUCCUCCUCCUCUGCCAUCCUGACUGGAAAGCCUAACAGCUGAGCAGAUCAAGUUUGAUGGGAUGGAGAUACUAGGUCAGCACUAGUUGGAUUAGUGGUAAUUUAGGGGGGAAGGAAUUUUCUUGCUGCAUCUGCCCUCUGUGACCUAAUUCUCCAGAGACAGAAAUAAUAACUAUAAUAACUUAACAUAUAGCCCUUUAAAGUUAUUAAAGUGAUUUACUUGAGUUAGUGAGAGGGCUGGGAUCCCUGAGUCAGGUACCAAAUGGCAUUGGACAGAUUUCUGGGGUGAGGGCCCUUAUCUGGGCCUUAGCACAUUAUCAAGAGCUAGGGGUUAUCAGGACACCUGGCUCCCUCUAAUGAACAGCUGACUGGAGAAAUAACAUUAGUUAACACCUGUGUAGAGCUACCCAGGCGUCCCUGUCCAUCUCCUUAAACCCAGCCCUGUGGAAGGGGCAGAGGAACCUUGAUUUUUCUCUAUAAAAUUCUAUCCCCCCACUACUCCCAGAACUCUACUUCCACUACUAGCCUCUGGACUACAUCUCCCUGCUAAUCCCAACAAAAGCUGAGAUGAACAGAGCUUGAGUGACAAAUUCUUUUGAAGAGAACUCAAGUCCGAUCACAAUGGGGGGGGGGGUCCCACACCAUUUCAUUAAUGUAAUAAUAGAGUAGGCUAUUAGACUGAAUGAUUCCAUCACAAGUGUAAAACUAAGUAUUAAUCACUUUGAAAGAAUUUUAGGACUUAGAUGAAGACAAAUGACACCACAUAGGAAACAUUUGUGUUCAAAAGAAAGGAUAAAAAUAAAAAAUACAUCUGAGAUCCUAGUGGCAGAAGAGCUACAAUCCUAAGGAUUCAAGUUUGAUCCAAGCUUGUUAGAGGGUAUUUCUCUCUGUGGACCAUAAUAUUGCAAAGAUGUUAUUGGGUCAGUAGUAGAGUUCAUCCAGUUGAAAUCAGAGAGACUGGACCAGGAGCACACAGUCUACAUAACUAGAGGAUAUCAAAGACCAUGAACCUCAUGGCAGAAAGAAAUGACUACCUAUAAGCACAAAUCACUGAACCUCAGAGCCUAGCCUAUGCUAUACCUAAAGAGUGCUACAUGCAGAUUCUUCUAAGGAAGAACCAAACUUCACUAACCAGAGAUUAUUACCCCUUUGCCAUGUAUGCCUCCCAACCUUUGUAUAUUACCCUUAUGCCCACUCUUUCCAUCAUCCCUAUGUGUGUAUUUGUUGGGGUAUUUAUUCAGACUCAAGGAGGGAAGAUUUUUUUCCCCAACUACUCCAUUCUUGCGGUACUACCAACCAUCCAACUAUACCAUCAUUUGAAAAGGUAUUUGAGGACAUUAGCUGAUUAUCACUAAGGAGUAUAUCAGUAGGUAUUACAGAGCCAUAGUAGUAGAAACCCACUCCCAAGAUCCUGAAAAUAGUAGACGACUCCUCUCUGGGAACCCAACUGGCUAAUGCAAGUAAGAAUUGGGGAAGUAGCCAUGAAAAGGGUGUUGCCCUUACAUUUGAGCAAUUCCAUAAGUCUUUAAGACAAUGACUAUCUCCACUUUACAGAUGAAAAAAUAGGUCUAGCAAGAUCAUGUGAUUUACCCAUAGGUUUGGCCCAGAACUUACUGAUUCUCAAGUCUGACUGCAUCUGCCAGACCUCCAGGAAAUUAGAAGUCUUUCAUUCUGAUAUGCAAACAGCCUCAAAUGUCCAGGGUCUGAAGGCCACCCCUACCACCGCCACAUUGACUGUUUUUCAAAGCUUGUGACUAUCUCCUGAUUGGUCAACUGAGAAUCAGCUGCCCUUCUAUAAAAGUAAAUGGGUCACUCUUUUAACCUUUGAGGAGAUAAAGCAAUGUUCAGUGGAAUGGAUCUAUAUUUUGAGAGCACUUGUUUUUUCCCCCUUAGGAGAAGGGACAACUGUGGCAGAGGCAGACUUAUAUGCACUUGGUUUGGAUAGAAGGAAGGCAGGCAGGAAGACAAUUGCCACCACUCUGGUAUGGGCCCUUAUAAAGAUUAAAAAUGGGAAGACUGGCUGUAGGUUUUAAUAUCUUAUUAAUUAGAAAGGAGAGGAUGGGAGAUCAAGGAAAUAGAUCAUUCCUAAAGAAAGGACUAAUAUAUAGCCUCAAUUUAACUGGCUUUCGUCCUAUAUGCCACAGCAGUAAUGCAGGCAGUACUGGAGUCAGCCUCAAUACAGAAGUAAAAGAGAGAGUGAAAUGUGCUCUGACCUCAGUUUAUCAAACUUUCUGCCCACUAACUCUCACACGUCACACCUUGUGAGUCAACUGCCACUCUUCCUCCUUAGCCUGCAUGCCACCCAAGGACAUUGGCCUGCCUCCUGCCUCGUCCUCUAUCCUAAUUGCUGGCUUUCCUGCUGACUACAGGGGGCACCAGUUUCAAUUCUGUCCUCAUUGUCAAAGUCCCCUCAAUAACUCCCUUCAUAUACCCAUAUCACUUCAUGUCUAGACUGUUGCAAAGCCUACUAGUGGGUCUGCUGGCCUCAGGUUUCUCUCCACUAAUCCAUUCUCCAUUCAACCAAAAUGAUUUUCCCUAAAGCAGUGAUCUGAUUAUGUCAUGCCUCCCUUCUCAAUAAACUCAAGUUUUAACAAAUUCAGUAAAUUCCAUAUCACCUUCAGGAUCAAAUAUAAAAUACUCUAUUUGGUGUUGAUAGCUCUUCAUAACCUAGCCCUUUCCAACCUUUCCAGUCUUCUUACACCUUUUUCCCCAACACAUACUCUCCCAGUCUAGUGACACUGACCUCCUGGCUAUUCUACAAAUAGAUCCUUCAUCAUUUGGCUCCUGCUUUUUCUCUGGGUGGCCUCCAUACCCAGAAUGUUGUCUUUUCUCUACUUUGUCUACUGACUUCCCUAACUUCCUUUAAGCCCAAACUAACAUCCUGCUUCUACCAUAGGCUUCUACCAAAAGUCUUCCCCAAACCCUCUUAAUUCUAGUGUCUUCCCUUUGUUAAUUAUUUCCUAUUUAUCCUGUAUAGCUUGCUUUGUAUAUAUUUCUUUGCAUAUUGCCUGUAAGCUCUGUGAGGGCAGUCUUUUGUAUCUUUUUUUUUUAAUCAGCAUUUAGCAUAGUGUCUGGCAUAUAGUAGGUGCUGCUUAAAUGCUUAUUGACUCAUUGAUUGGUUCUAAUGAGGGAAGACCAUAUGCAAAAGCAAGGUGUUGGGAGGGAACUUUGGGGAAUGAAAUGAUGGCAUGGUUUUGAAGUCCAGAAAGUCAGGAAGAGGGGUAGGAGAGUUAUGGAAGGAAGGCUGACUUGGCCAUCUUCAAAAAAUGGAGGCUUCUGAAGGAACUAAUUUAUUAAGUACCCACUAUAUGGCAGGCACUGUGCUAAGAGCUGAAGAUACAAAUGAUUCUUCUCAUCUCACUUGUUAUAAAAAGAACUGGUGUUUCCUUAUUGAUUUGAAGUUAUUUAAAACCGAUUUCAAUUACUAUGGGGAUAUCCCUCAUGUGGGGAAUGGCUAAACAAAUUGUGGUAUAUGAUGAUGAUGUUGGAAUGCUAUUGUGCUAUAAGAAAUGAUGAAACGGUUGAUUUCUAUAAGACCUGGACGGACCUACAUGAACUAAUGUGGAGUGAAAUGAGCAGAACUGGGAGAACAUUGUACACAGAAAUUGAAACAUUUUGGGAUGAUCAAAUUUUGCUUUGCUACUGACAACAAUAAAAUGAUUCAGGACAAUUCAGAGGAACUUAUGAAAAGAAUGCUAUCCACAUCUAGAGAAAGAACUAUUGGAGCAGAAAUGCAGAAGAAAACAUGAUUCAUCACUUGUUUAUUUGGGUAUAUGAUUUGGACUUUGGGUUUUAAAAGAUUACUUUAUUACAAAAAUGAACAAUAUGAAAAUAGGCUUUGAGUGAUAAUACUCUACAUGGGAAACUCAGUGGAAUUGCUUGUCAACUGCGAAAGAGGGGAAAGAAGAGGGGAGGGAGACAACAUGAAUCAUGUAACAUUGGAAAACAUAUAUAGAUUUGUUACUAGAAUAAAAAUAUUUUUUAACCUAUUUCAAUUAAUAUCCAUUCCAGAAUUGAGAAGUCCAAUAUAAUUUAUACCAAGAUUUCCAAUUUCAAAAUAUAUACACUGGUUUAAAAAUUACUUCCUAAAUUGAUUUGUAUUUAAUUUAUAAAACUCGCAGGCACCUAAUUAGAUGUACCCUUCUAAUAUAACUCAUUUACUUUUUAGUUCCCUGAUUUCCAUGAAGUUUUCUCUUUUUCAUGAAUAGGAAAGAGUUAAUAGGCAGCUCUUAAGUGGUACAGAUAUUAUUUUAUAUAUAUAUAUAUGUCAUUAGGUACAGUGGAGAAGAUAUAUAAAAAUACAGAUUUUUUCCCUUCACUUUGGAAUGUUACUGAUACUACUAUCAAUUUAAUUUAGAUUCUGUUUAAUCAGUGAAAUUACUGACCCUCCCCCCCCAACAAAACAAAACAAUACAAUAAAUCUGUUACUUUCUAAGUAAGGUGCAAGAAGAGAUGUAAAUGUUCUUUUCUGCAACUUUCACAGUUCUGGUCUCAAUUUUCUCUAAAUUCUAUAGUGAAUGACUUCAGAACUCACUAAAGCAUUUCAGCAUUUAUAAAAACAUUCAGAUGCAAGUUUGGAAAUUCAUAGUAGAGGACUUACAAUUUUAGUCUUUGAUUAGUUUAUGAUAUAAUUUUUUGAAGAUUUGGGGGAAAGAUCCCCCUUCCUCUUAUCUGUGUUUCUUUUUUCAUAGAAAAUUUCUAUAAUCAGGGCAAAUGGCCAGUGGAAGUUUUGCUGUUACAAUACCAAAUCUAUUAAUUAAUAGAGUUAUACUAAAACAUCUGAGUUUCUAUAAUAGGAUGCAAAUAGAAAAAAAUCUUACUAUUUUAAUACAAAGUUGGGGUCAGUUCCAUAUUCUAAGCAACUAAGUAAAUGAGUUAAUGGGUUUGCCACUUGCUAAUAGUUAUAUAUUUCUGUAUAAUGUAUAUAUUAAUCCUUAAAAUAACUAAUUUCUUCAAAGAACAUUUGUGGAAAAUAAGUUGUUUCCUCAAAAAAAGAAGAGGAUAAGACAAAGUUGUAAAGGUUUUUAAAUUAACUUUAAUAAAGCAACAAGAUUAGACUGUUAGAAGUCUAAAAACUAAGAGAUAGACACACACAUACAAUUGGUUUCCAAAUGUUUUUAAUGGGAAAUAUAGGCCAGAGAGUGUUUUCAUAAUACAUUUCCAAAGUUGGAUGAAGAUUUUUACAUAUAAGUUUGCAUUAAUAAUUGUAAAGAAUUUUAAAUCAUGUCCUUUUUUCUUAGUUUGAAGUCCCUAUCUGAUAAUAUUAAGGGAAAGGAGGUCUCAUUUUCCAAGUCAGCCCUCUUCCUUCAGCUUAUGGAUGACAUUGUCCAUAUCAGAAACAGAAAGAAAAGAGACUGGGAUACCUGGGCAAAGAUCUGGCUUUACUGUGAGAAAAGAAAUCACAGGCCAGAGUUUUGCAUACUCUCCAGUGUGAGACUCAGAGUUGCAAAAUACACACUACAUACUUAAUUUCAUGUUUGGUCCUAAUCCUGCAUUUCUGAGACAUCUCCAACCCUCAAAACAUCUGGAGGCCUUCUAGGGCAAUUAAUCUGGUCCAGCUGGUUUAGGUGCCCAUUUACAGCGCACCCCCCCCAAUUCUGUUUAAUAUAAAGAAUAGCAUAAUGCACCUAUACUCCUUUUAUUUAUAGCCAUAAUACACUCAGUAACCAAUUGCAUUUUGAUUCUAGUUCUCUAUGGAUACUAAUCAUCUCAGGUCAAUUCUUUGUCUUUGGCACUAAGGCAUAUAGUACCCUUCCUGAAAACUGGUACUAUAUUUGUGGUAUCAGCUGCCUAAAUACUCCCUGUUUCUGUUUCUAAUCACACUGAGACUAUGGGGAAACAUGUUAUUCAGAAUGUAGGCUCAUACUGGCAUAGGAAGUUUAGGAGAGACUAUGUAGCAGAUAAUAUAGGUGGUUAACUCUUCCUCCUUCAGGAGGUUUUUAUAGUCUCAUAUUCCACCAAUACGGAUACAUUUCCUUAUGAACUCUCAGAAAUCUUUCUCUUAAACUUCAGAACUUAGCCCAAUUUACCUCCCAGGUAACUGGGUAACUUCAGCACAGGCAGGUUCCUAUUGGUGGGGACACCCUAUGGCAGUGAUGGUGAACCUAUGGCACAGGUGCCAAAGGUGGCUCACAGAACCCUCUCUGUGCAUGCAGCUGCUGUCCCCCACCCCCCAGUUCAUUUUUAGAAAGAGACUCUGGUGGAGCUGCUCUCUUCUCCACUGUACCUAAUGACAGCCCCUCCUCCUCUGCCCAGCAGUCCAAUGGGAGUGCUUUUUUCUCUGCAUGGAGUAAGGGGGAGUAGGUCCACCCUGCAUUCAAUGCAGGGUAAGGCCAUAGCACAUGGCCUCUGGGUGGGUGUGGGGCCUGGCACUCUGUCUCUAAAAGGUUCGCCAUCACUAUCCUAUGGGAACCUUGAGUUUGGGGCCUCAGCAAGCUUCAUUCUGCUUCUGUGCUCAUUUUGAGGCCUAGCAGGACUCAUUCUGCCACUAUACCUGGGUUUUUCUUCUAACCCCCACGUUUUCCAUCUUUGGGGUCUUGGCAGACUGCCACUGUGCCCUUCUCUGACCUUAAUUAUGGAACAAGCUCCUUCAUUCCUUUUAUCCCAUGAAACCCUUUUAAUUGGGAAAAGUUCAACUUGCAGGACUUAAAAAGGAAACAAUUAUUCUGUCCUUUAAUUGAAUUCAUUUUAUAAGAGGGAAGGAAACUCAGUCAGGAAAGAAAAUCAAACUGCCCCAAAUGGGUUGCUUUUUAACAAUGGCAGUUAGAAGCAGUUAAAAGAGAAGCCACAAAUAAUCUGACUUUGGUUAAAAGAAUGCUUAAGUAAAAUGAAAGUAGAAAGCUACAAGGUAGAGGAUCAGCUCCACUCCUUGCAGUCAGACUUAAUUCUGUUCUGUAAUAAAGUCAGCUGAUAAUUUAUUUUAGCUAAAUUUGGUUAUUUCAUUUUUUCAAACUGAAAAAGUUAAAGCUAGCAAGUAUGUGAUCAUUUGUUUUGGUUAAUUUGGCUAUAUCAUUAUUGUAAGAAAAUCUUUGUUUUGUGCCCUUUUUAGUGUUAUUUGUAGAUUUUGUUACCUUGAAAGAUUUCUAACAGGGAAAAUGCAGUCAAGCCAGAAAGAUUGCUAAAAACUGCAGUCAAAGAGCUAAUAUGUUGGGAAAAAUUAAUGAAGUAUCAUACUUAAGAAAUAAUUAUCCCAGUGAACAGAUAAAAUAAAUGAGGUGGUUUAAAGAUGGUACUUCAAUAUAUUAAUAUGAGAAAAUCACACAGCAAAAGUGAUAAACAAAAUCUGCAAAUUGAGACAAACUUUCUUGUACAAGUUGUUCUCUAGUCUGGCUAUUCCUUGACCUUAUUAUAGAACACAAGGUGGAGCAUGUGCUAUUAUUAAUCAGUCUUGUUGCUUCUACAUCAACCAUUCAAGUGAAAUUUAUUGCCAAUGUACACGUUCUCCAAGGAUCCUGUCCAAGACUAAUUGAAGAGCAGAUGAAAUGAUUUUCCAUCCAUCCCUGAAGGAAUCCACUUUCUUUGGUUGCCUCUGUAUUCAACUGAUUUUCAGAGAUAGUUAUUUUUGCUACUAUAAUUGGGUGAUUCCUUAACCUGCCUCUCUGAGUUGCAGACCUAUGAUGCUUUGUGCUCUGAUAAUUAAACUUUGGUUACUUCAUCUUAGGUAUGGUCGUGACUGUUUUUAGUGUUAGUGAUCUUAAUAACCUUACUUUCAACACGCAUAUUACUUUUAGAAGAGAUAGUCUUACCACUGGUAGCCACAAAUUGAACCAGUAGGGUGCAUGUAUAAGAAUCAUCAUCCUGUUUCUUACAAAGUUACUGAAUUGUGGCCUACAUCAAGGUCCAUGCCCAAAUCUAGGUCAUGGAUCAGGCCCACAUCUGCUGACAAGUCUCCAAGAUUGCCCUGGAAGCCUGAUUUUGAGUCAAAGAUCUUGCCCUCAUCUGGAUCUGGUAAGGUCUGACAUAUAAUAAGUGGUGCAAAGGCAAGAGCAGUCAUCACUCUCUGAUUAUGGGUGGGAGGGAACUAAUAUACAAAAUGAUGAACUUUUCUCAAAAUGCAGAAGUAAGCACUUAAGUUUCAUAUUUCCUAAGGAACAUAUACUUUUCCCCAAAGCCAUGUCACUCUAAGCUAGCCUAAGUUUUACUGAGUAGACAUCCUACUUGGCCUAUAAGGAAUAAAAUGUAUUGGGUCAGAACUUUGUACCAAGAAUGUGAGCCCAUAGUAACCAGUCAGUGGUAAACUAAGAGAGAGGUGGGGGAUGAUCAUAUAGGCAACUGCAUCUGCUGCCAGGGCACACUUGCCAUACUUGGGCAUGUGCCCUUUCUCAUGAGAAAGAUAAAUUUGCCUCUAUUCACCUCAGUGGCCUUUAGUUAUUCUUAAACAGUGUUGUUCCAUACAUAAUAAAUGUAAAUCCUAGCAUGUCAAGUAUAUAAAAGAGAGCACACUGCCCUGGUAUAGUAGUGCAGUGGGUAGAAUUUGAUACAACACUCUUCCUUGAAAAGGACACAGCUUGAUCUAAAGCUAGGAAACAAUGGAGACAGAACACAGGGAACUUAUAAAGCAUCCUCUUUAUCUUGUCCCCUUUUUGGAACCUGAGCAAUCUUAGCAUGAGAGCCCUGAAUACAAGUUUUUUCCUUCCACAUUAAUGGGCAGUUGGGAUUGUCAGCAGUAUUGAGAAUAGUUCCUCCCAGAACAGCUGAGUGUCUCCAGUCCUGUGAACAUUUUUAAUGUAGACAGUGUCACCUGUCUGGAAAUCAUGCAAUGAAAAGUGCUCCUUUAACCAAUCAUAGUUUUAAGUUCUCUAUUCAUUCUCUCAGCUUGACCUGAACUCUGAAGGUGAUAUGGGAUAUUGAUAGUUUUCACACUGAGAGAGGAAUGAACCUAGGGUCAGAGUUGAAUCUAUAGAAUGAGUCCUUCUAUCAGAAUCAAUAAAAGCUGAAGGUCCAAAUCUAAGAAUAAUUUUUUAAAGUAAGAUCUUAAUAACAAAGGCUGAUGUAACCCUAGAAAUGGGGAAAACUUCAACCCAUCUUGUAAGGUGAUCAACAAUAAUAAGGCAAUACUUGGAAAUAGUUGAUUUGUGCAUGUUAUAUAAUAAAUUUGGAGAUGUUCAAAUGAGGUAUAGGCUAAAGAGUGAACACCAAAUAUCACCUUUCUAAAGGCAUGUUGAUUAUAAGGCAAUAUGUAUGGCAAGAAGCAUAUAUAUGUUUAACAACAGAGGAAAUACCACCAGGGUCAACCCCAACAUGUUUGAAUGUGUCCACCAUUCCCUGAGUACCAAAAUGCCCCAUUUUAUGUGCUGAAAGAUAAAUUUGGUGAUAAAAUUUCUUAGGGAGAAGAGGCUUACCAGUUUUUGUGAUCCAAACCCCAGGUACUUACUUUGCAUUAAACUUUGUCUUCCAGGACUCAACUUCUUUCUCACUGUAGAUAAGGGAAUUGACUUUAUUCUUGAGGAGGUGCAAUGUUCCUUCUUCAGUGAAAAGAGUUGUAUGGGUAGAGUAAAAAAGCAGGGCUAUUGAUAACAGCAGCCUUAGCUGUCAUGUCAGCUGACUCUUUGCCAAGAAACACUGGAUCAGUGUCUCCAGUAUGGACUGUGCAAUGAAUGACAGAGAGAGAGCAAGCUAGGAAGCUCAAUAGCUUCCAGGAGAUCACAGAUAAGGUCAAUGUUUGCUGUAGUUUUUCUAGAGGAUUUAAGAAAACCUUGUUGCAACCAGAGAUUUUUACUGCCUGUGAGAGCAAUGAAUUCAAGUGCAUGGGUCCUGAGGUGAUGAAAUGGUAGAAAAACAGACUAGAAAAGGUCUCAAUCAGAUACCACUGAAGCACCGAUGUAAUGGACCCUAUCCCUCAUAAAGGAGAAGCCUUCAGUAUAGAGUGUCAAAUCUGGAUCAGCAAGUGGAGCAUCAUCAGUGAGGUCUUGUUGAAGUCUUUCAGCCAUAUUAACAACAAGGCUGCAACCAUAUAAAAGAAAUACAUCAUCAUCUGACAAAGUAAUCUCUGGUAGGAGUGAGGCAGGAUUAAGGACAGAACACCUUUUAAUGGUAACAUUUUCUUUGUGUCUAGCAGAUCUCUCCUCAGAGAAAGCCUGGAUCCCGUGUCUCAGCAAUAAGGCUUCCAUCUCAUAAAGGCACAGCACAAUGAACUGAAAGCCUAGGACCAGAUCACAAGCCUUGUCUACCAUUAGAGCAGCAGCUGCCAUAGCCCAAAGGCAUGGAGGUACCUCAAGGUGAUGACAUAUAGCUGGCAGGGGUGAAGGGAUGGCCCAAGUUCUGGGAGAAUACCCUGUAUGCUACAUUCUUCUGCUCAUGGCAAAGAGGAAAAAAGACUUAGUCUGAGAGGCCCAAAGCACAUCUUGGGAGGAGAGACUUUUUGAGAGUGUCUGUCAGGUAUUCAGGCUGCAAAGCCAAAGAUUCUGGAACAGAGUCUUUAGUUAUAACAGUUAAUGGUUUAACAAUCUCACCAAUGCUGGGUUCCAUUGAGAACAGUAAUCCAUGCUGCCUAAGGUGGCAUGUAGUAGUUCCUUAGUCUUCAGGUUUUCCAACCUCUAUAUGGUUUGAACAUGCUUUGGUGACCCUUGUUGGAGUUUUAUGAUAAAAAGAAAACCUAAAUAUUCAACUGAAGGGAGACAUCAUUAGACUUUACAUUUAGAAAUCUUAUGACCUCUUUCAUAAAUUGUAAUAACAGGUGAAUGCUGUCCUUUUCACAAAUCUCAUCAUCAGGAGAGACUAAUAAUAAAUCAUCAACAUCUUGUACUAGCAUAGAGCCUUGAAAGGAAAUUAAAGAUAAGUCUAGUUUCUGAAUUUGAGAGAAAAGAGCUGGACUUACUACAUACCCCUGAGGAACUCUUGAACAGGUUUAAUUAGUCCUUUUCCAGGUGGAAUACAGAUUCACUUAUCAGAACACUGAAAAAGGCUAAACAUGAAUCAAUUAUGGUAAAGCAUUUGGCUAUACAUGGAAUGGUGAGACAAUGUAGCCAGAUUGAGAACUACUAGAUGUCUGAGAGGAAUAACAUAAGAAUUAAUAGCACAAAGGUCUUAUACAAAAAUAUACAAGUUUACCAUCAGGACCUGGUUUGGGUUUCUUAACAGAGGGUAUGGAAGUGUUAUAUGCCAAUUAAAAUCCCUUGAUCAAUUACUGCAUUAAUUAUAGGUUCAAUUUCUUCUAUAGUUUCUUUGUACAAUGAAUAUUAUGGCUUAGUGAGAAGAGGAUCACCCUUUACUUCAGUAGUAACAAGUACAACAGAGACUGAUACCCAAUGGCACAAUCAAAUAUCAUGAACUUCUCUACUAGCAGCAGUGCAAUGAUCUAGGACAAUUCUGAGGGACUUAUGAGAAAGAAUGCUAUCCACAUCCAGAGGAAGAACUGUGGGAGUAGAAACACAGAAGGAAAACACAUGAUCAAUUAAAUGGUUUGAUGGGGAUAUGAUUGGGGAUGUUGACUUUAAAUGAUCACACUAUUGCAAAUAGUAAUAAUAUGGAAAUAGGUUUUGAACAAUGAUACAUGUAAAACCCAGUGGAAUUGCUCAUUGACUCUGGGAGUGGGGAGCGAGGAGGGGAAGGAAAAAACAUGAGUCAUGUAAUCAUGGAAAAAUAUUCUAAAGUAAUUAACUAAAUAAAUAAAAUUUAAAAAAUAGUAACAGGUACAGCUGAUUUGAAAAGUCUCACAUUAUUAGAGGAUUUAGCCCAAUCCAAUUCAGGAAUAGUAGGUCUAAUCUGUUUAGUAGCAAUACAAGCAAUGAUAGCUGGUUCUGAAUCUAGUAACAGAAUAAACACAGAAAGAGAAUCUUCUGGCAGCUCUAGACCAAUCAGGUAAACAUUCAAUAGUUAACUUUUAGUUUGUGGCAUGAACAGGAAAGAAUGACUUAUUAUCAAGGGACCAACAUGUUAUAACCUGUUUGGAGGCCAAAACCUUUGUACACCAAUUACACCAAUAAUAUGUAACCAAUGAUAUCAGGUGAAUCUGGCACUGAAAUUAAAACAAUGAAUCUCCCACAUCUA